CCUCUUCUCAGGCUCCUCCUGAGGCACUGUCCUAGAGCACAAAUAUCUGUUUGGUUAAUUUCACGAAUGUUCCGAUGAGCCUUUAUCCCUCCAUUUCUCUUUCCAGUUUGCACAAUAAAGGUGGAACACUGUGAUCUCCAGAUCAAGAGAGAAUCUUGAAGGAUGGCUGGGCUGCAUUUGCCACUCCCUCUGUGGCUCCCAGCUCUGCCAGCCCACCAGCAGCUGCUUCCCUCCUAUACUUGCCUAAGGUCUGUACUCUUGGAGCCACCGCAUUUCUGGCAGAAGUAAAAUCGACUGCAUGGUCUGGGUUGCUACUCCUGAGGACCCAGAGUUUGUUCACAGCUGGCCGUGAUGAUCCUCAAGGAUGACACAGAUACUAUUGAGGUGAUCUGGGCUGAGGAGAUGCCUCUUAAUUGUGUUUGCAGCUCAGAGCAGAAAGCAUGCCCAUUCGAGGGCUUCAGUGGCAAAAGGCUCAGCUCAGAGCUUGAAGACCAGCACAUUCAACACUUGAAUUUAGGAAUAUCCUCUAACCACUCCACCCUCCAGAACAAGAAUUCAAAUCCUAUCUGAAACAGGCUCCAGCCCUCUACUGAUGUGUUUCUCCUGGGCCUCCCUUCUCCACUUUGGAUUUCCUUUGGUUAUCUGGUUUUCUGUACGCAACAAAUAAAACACUUGUUUGACUAUUUGUGCCUCCA
rnacentral:lncRNA from 1 species